GUGAUUUCCGGUCUCCCUGCUGCUAGUAGCACGGAGAGGCUAGAGAUCCUCGACGACGAACGCCACGUCAUCAGUUUUAGCGUUGUCGGUGGGGACCACAAGUUAGCCAAUUACCGAUCUGUGACUACGCUUCACACGGAACCGAGCUCCGGCAAUGAAGCGGCGGCGGAGACGAUCGUUGUGGAAUCGUACGUCGUUGAUGUACCGCCUGGUAAUACUAGAGAAGAGACGUGCGUUUUUGUGGACACAAUCGUGAAAUGCAACCUUCAAUCGUUAUCUCAGAUCGCGCAGAAUUCAGCCAGAUGAAAAUCUUCGUCAAUUUUGAAUAUGUAUUUUGGAUCGAUCAACUUGC
rnacentral:misc_RNA from 1 species